AACGAACGCUGGCGGCAUGCCUAACACAUGCAAGUCGAACGAGACCUUCGGGUCUAGUGGCGCACGGGUGCGUAACGCGUGGGAACCUGCCCUUAGGUUCGGAAUAACUCCCCGAAAGGGGUGCUAAUACCGGAUAAUGUCUUCGGACCAAAGAUUUAUCGCCUUUGGAUGGGCCCGCGUUGGAUUAGCUAGUUGGUAGGGUAAAAGCCUACCAAGGCGACGAUCCAUAGCUGGUCUGAGAGGAGGAUCAGCCACACUGGGACUGAGACACGGCCCAGACCCCAGGGGGGGGCAGGGGGGGGGAAAAUUGGGGAGGGGGCAAAAGCCUGCCCCGCCAAGGCCGGGUGGGGGAUGAGGGCCUUGGGGUUGUAAAGCUUUUUUACCCGGGAGUAAAAUGACGGAACGGGGAAAAAAAGCCCCGCCAACCUCCGG
rnacentral:rRNA from 1 species